ensembl:lncRNA SIM1-AS1 SIM1 antisense RNA 1
AGUUACCGCCUGGCCACUGGGUAAACCUCCGCAGCAGAGAGACCUACUUUAUGUUUCAUUUUCAAGCUCCUAUGGAGCCCAGCAGAGAGAGCUGACAAGGAGGAAUACUGCGAGGGGCUCACAGACUAAGACAAUCUGCUGGGAAAUUAGGAGUUUGAAACAUCCAACUAAGAAGCCUAAGGUUUAGACUGCAUCAUAUUCUAAUAACAACAGGAUUAUAAUAUCAAAUGAGACUCUCUGACCCUGCAAAUCUGGAACCAGCUGUAUAGGGACUUUGAACCUCCCUUUUCUCCAAUCUGCUGGUGUUUGUCAUCCUAAUAUAUACCUCAUAUUUUCUUUCUGAAAAUAAUUUUUAAAAUAUACCCAUCAUACAUACGGCA